UAGGGUGGCGCACGGGUGCGUAACGCGUAGGUAAUCUGCCCUGAGGUCUGACAUAACCCGUCGAAAGGGCGGGCUAACAUCAGAUGAUAUAUAAUCACGACAUCGUGGAAAUAUCAAAUCUUCGGAGCCUUGGGAUGAGCCUGCGUCUGAUUAGGUAGUUGGCGGAGUAAUAGCCCACCAAGCCUACGAUCAGUAGCUGGUCUGAGAGGAUGAUCAGCCACACUGGAACUGAGACACGGUCCAGACUCCUACGGGAGGCAGCAGUAAGGAAUAUUGCUCAAUGGGGGGAAACCCUGAAGCAGCAACGCCGCGUGAAGGAUGAAAUACUUUUGUAUGUAAACUUCUGUAAGAUGGGAAAAAUAUUCUCCUCGGGAGAAUUGAUUGUACCAUCAGAGUAAGCCCCGGCUAACUACGUG
rnacentral:rRNA from 1 species